rnacentral:rRNA from 1 species
GGGUCAGUAGGUUGGUCGUGCCACCGGUACGUACUGGUCUCGCUGAUUCCUCCUUCCUGAAGAACCGUAAUGCCAUUAAUUUGGUGUUGCGGGGAAACAGGACUGUUACUUUGAAAAAAUUAAAGUGUUUAGAGCAAGCUAACGCUUGAAUACAUUAGCAUGGAAUAAUGAAAUUGGACGAUCGAUCCUAUUUUGUUGGUUUCUAGGAUUGACGUA